GAUCCUGGCUCAGACGAACGCUGGCGGCAGGCCUAACACAUGCAAGUCGAGCGCCCCGCAAGGGGAGCGGCGGACGGGUGAGUAACGCGUGGGAACGUACCCUUUGCUACGGAAUAGCCUCGGGAAACUGGGAGUAAUACCGUAUGUGCCCUUCGGGGGAAAGAUUUAUCGGCAAAGGAUCGGCCCGCGUUGGAUUAGGUAGUUGGUGGGGUAAUGGCCUACCAAGCCGACGAUCCAUAGCUGGUUUGAGAGGAUGAUCAGCCACACUGGGACUGAGACACGGCCCAGACUCCUACGGGAGGCAGCAGUGGGGAAUCUUAGACAAUGGGCGCAAGCCUGAUCUAGCCAUGCCGCGUGAGCGAUGAAGGCCUUAGGGUUGUAAAGCUCUUUCAGUGGGGAAGAUAAUGACUGUACCCACAGAAGAAGCCCCGGCUAACUCCGUG
rnacentral:rRNA from 1 species